rnacentral:sRNA from 1 species
GCGCUGCACAGACCAUUCGGAAGACACGGUCCCUGCCCUCUAGGAGCUGACAGGCUAAAGCAACAGGAUGGACAGACAUAUACAUUUCCCCUUCUCUUUUUUUUUUGUUUUUGUUUAUUUGUUAUUUUUGUUUCGUUCUGAUGUAUAUGGACUGCCAGAAUAGGGGGGGUGGUGGUUUGUUCGUGGUGUCUGGGGGAGGAAGGAAUCCUUACCCUGGCUUCCUUAAUCGGGGAAGGCUUCCUGAAGGAGGUGGGCUCAGAGGUCUCGAAGUGCUGCAGCUAAAACUCAUACAACUGCCUUGACUGGGCGAAGUCCUUCUCCUGCUUCAGGGCGACGAGGGGAGGGAGAUGCGCCUUUCAGCGAACCAGGUACUACCAGCACACAACGGCCUAGUAGCCCGGAGCCUGCUACGAAACAGCCUAGCAGCCCUUAUGAAGACAAAGAUAAAGACAAGAAGGAGAAAUCUGCAACUCGACCUAGCCCCUCUCCGGAAAGGAGCAGCACAGCCCCAGAACCACCUGCUCCCACUCCGCUCCUUGCUGAGCGACAUGGCGGCUCCCCACAACCCCUUGCAGCAACCCCCUUAAGCCAGGAGCCAGUGAACCCCCCAUCUGAGGCCUCUCCAACUCGGGGCCGUUCACCACCUAAGUCUCCUGAGAAACUUCCCCAGUCUUCUUCCUCAGAGAGCAGCCCGCCAUCCCCUCAACCUA